GACAGAGGGGGCAAGCGUUGCUCGGAAUCACUGGGCGUAAAGGGCGCGUAGGCGGGAUGGCAAGUCGGUCGUGAAAUCCCUCGGCUGCAACUGAGGGGGUCGGCCGAUACUGCCGUUCUUGAGGGAUGCAGAGGAGACUGGAAUUCCCGGUGUAGCGGUGAAAUGUGUAGAGAUCGGGAGGAACACCGGUGGCGAAGGCGGCUCACUGGCCCGAUACUGACGCUGAGGCACGAAAGCGUGGGGAGCAAACAGG
rnacentral:rRNA from 1 species